GUAUUCACUUUGGCAGCACAUACACUAACAUUGGAAUAAUACAGAGGAUAUUAGCAUAAUCCCAAGUAAAGAUGACAUGCAAAUUUGUCAAGUGUUCUAUAAUUUU